GGAUAAGAAUGUCCUGAGCUUCAAAUCUCUUCCCUGAUAAAAAGAGGGCUGCUGCUCUCAAGGAACUUCAGUCAAGGGGAGUGGGGGAAGACAGUCCCACACACAGACAAAAAACUAGGGGGUGAAAGGCCAAUGAGUGGUGGGAAGGAAAGGGAAAGAAGCUUCCAGAAGGCUAGGGGUAAGAAUGCAGCAGUGAACAUGGUUCCUGCACUCAUGAAGCAAAUGUAUCCACUGUGGUACAAAAGAGACUGUAAAAAACAAACCCAAAUGGACAACAGAGUUCUGAACCAUCCUGUGACAAGUCUAGUUACCCUAAAGCUGUCAUGCAGGAGAGACCAUGUGGAGAGAAGGAGAGUUAGAGAGAGGAGGAGCCCCUGCUGUUUGAGUAUUCUCAGCCCAGACACCAGACAUGAGUGAGGAAGCAUUCAGACCCCAACUCCAGUUUAAAAACGCCACCACUCAACAGCCUGUUUUCUGAGCCUAUGACCACAUAUAUGCUGCAGAACCCUUUCAGGGUGUAUCUGAAACUACUUCUCUUAAAGGCAAGCUGUAACUGGUGCCAGAAAAGACAGAAGCUGAUUGAGGUCCCAGCUUGGUAACAGUUUGAAGAGUUGCAGGACUGGCUGGAUGAGUACUGGCUGCAGCAAAUCAGGCUGCCAGGAUUCUUUAUGGCUGUUUCUGCUUCCACUACAGCUGAGUCAGAAAGGUCGCUGCCCCGUGGUGGCACUAGACGCAGUGGACCUGG
rnacentral:lncRNA from 10 species